rnacentral:rRNA from 1 species
CACGUAGGGGGCAAGCGUUGUCCGGAUUUAUUGGGCGUAAAGAGCUCGUAGGUGGCUUAGUAAGUCGGGUGUGAAACCUCCAGGCUCAACCUGGAGACGCCACCCGAUACUGCUAUAGCUUGAGUCCGGUAGGGGAGCGUGGAAUUCCUGGUGUAGCGGUGAAAUGCGCAGAUAUCAGGAGGAACACCUAUUGCGAAGGCAGCUCGCUGGGACGUUACUGACGCUGAGACGCGAAAGCGUGGGGAGCAAACAGG